rnacentral:misc_RNA from 1 species
GAUGAAGAACGUAGCGAAAUGCGAUACUUGGUGUGUAUUGCAGAAUCCCGUGAACCAUCGAGUCUUUGAACGCAAGUUGCGCCCGAAGCCAUCAGGUUGAGGGCACGUCUGCCUGGGCGUCACAUAUCGUUGCCCAAUGCCUAUUGCAGUGCAAUAGGAAUUUCUAGGGCGAAUGAUGGCUUCCCGUGAGCGUUGUUGCCUCGCGGUUGGUUGAAAAUCGAGUCCUUGGUAGGGUGUGCCAUGGUAGAUGGUGGUCGAGUUAGAACGAUACCGAUCAUGUGCAUGCUCCCCAAAAUAUGGCCUCUAUGACCCACACGCGUCUUUUGACGCUCAUGACGAGACCUCAGGUCAGGCGGGGCUACCCGCUGAAUUUAAGCAUAUCAAUAAGCGGGGA